rnacentral:lncRNA from 1 species
GUACCGCUGGGGUUUGACUUUUAGAUCUAACAGAUAAAAAUAGACCUCAUGCAUAGGGCUACAUGAUUUUUACGAGGGGCAUAGGCUGUAUAUGAACACUAAGAACUUCACCACAGCCCUACUCACAUGAGGAUCACAGGAAUCACCGAAAUAAGAAUAUGCCUAGUCAAGAGAGAGCAAGUUGUAGAUCUAAUCCAAACAUAGUUCAAGUGCUAGAUCUAAAACAAGUAAGUCCUAGGGCAUGGCAAAAUAA